rnacentral:rRNA from 1 species
GACGAACGCUGGCGGCGCGCCUAACACAUGCAAGUCGAACGGAGCGGAGAGGAGUUUGCUUGUCUUAGGUUAGUGGCGAACGGGUGAGUAACGCGUGAGUAACCUGCCCUGGAGUGGGGGACAACAGUUGGAAACGACUGCUAACACCGCAUAAGCCCACGAUCCGGCAUCGGAUUGAGAGAAAAGGAUUUAUUCGCUUCAGGAUGGACGCUCGUCCAAUUAGCUAGUUGGUGAGGUAACGGCCCACCAAGGCGAGGAGUGCUAGCCGGAAUGUGAGGUUGACCCGCCACGUCGGGACUGCGACCCAGCCCCGACUGCUACGCGAGGGAGGAGUGGGUGAUACUGCACAAUGGGGGCAGACGUGAUGCAGCGACGCCGGGUAGGGGAAGAAGGUUUUCGGAUUGUGCACUCCUGUCGUAAGGGGCGUUAAUGACGGUACCUAAUAAAAAAGCACCGGCUAACUACGUG